AGAUUGAACGCUGGCGGCAGGCCUAACACAUGCAAGUCGAGCGGUAGAGAGGUGCUUGCACCUCUUGAGAGCGGCGGACGGGUGAGUAAUGCCUAGGAAUCUGCCUAGUGGUGGGGGAUAACGUUCGGAAACGGACGCUAAUACCGCAUACGUCCUACGGGAGAAAGCGGGGGACCUUCGGGCCUCGCGCCAUUAGAUGAGCCUAGGUCGGAUUAGCUAGUUGGUGAGGUAAUGGCUCACCAAGGCGACGAUCCGUAACUGGUCUGAGAGGAUGAUCAGUCACACUGGAACUGAGACACGGUCCAGACUCCUACGGGAGGCAGCAGUGGGAAUAUUGGACAAUAGGGCGCAAGCCUGAUCCAGCAAUGCCGCGUGCAGGAUGAAGGCCUUCGGUGUAAACUGCUUUUGUACGGAACGUAAACGUUCGUCUACUAAUACGAGGGCUAAGUGAACGUACCGUAAGAAAUAAGCAACCGGCUAACUACGUGCCAGACAGCCGUA
rnacentral:rRNA from 1 species